CAGUGGCUCACGUCUAUAAUCCCAGCACUUUAGGAGGCUGAGGUGGGUGGAUCACUUGAGGUCAGGAGUUCACACCCAGCCUGGCCAACAUGGUGAAAUCCCAUCUCUACUAAAGACGCAAAAAUUAGCCAGGUGUGAUAACGCACACUUGUAAUCCCAGCUACUUGGGAAGCUGAGGCAGGAGAAUCACCUGAACCUGGGAGGUGGAGGUUGCAAUUAGCUGAGAUCGUGCCACUGCAUUCCAGCCUGGGCGACAAAGCAGGACUCCAUCUCAAAAAAAAAAAGAGGCCGGGCGCAGCAGCUCACGCCUGUAAUCUCAGCACUUUGAGAGGCCAAGGCAGGUGGAUCACAAGUUCAGGAGUUCAAGGCCAGCCUGGGGAACACAGUGAAACCCCGUCUCUACUAAAAUACAAAAAAAUUACCCUGGUGUGGUGGCACGUGCCUGUAAUCCCAGCUACUCAGGAGGCUGAGGCAGGAGAAUUGCUUGAACCUGGGAGGCGGAGGUUGCAGUGAGCUGAGAUUGUGCCAUGCAAUCUCAGAGUGAGACUCCAUCUCUAAAAAAAAAGAAAAGAAAAAGAAAUACAGUCAGAUGGAUGGACAGGACGUUUCUAACAGCCUGAGCCCCCGUGGACUGUUUCGCUUUGACCAGGGUCUGGGAAAUGGCAGGGGGGCUUACACAGUGGUGCGGUCUGGACUAACACCAAGUGUUGGCGAGGAUGUGGGAGAACACGACCUCUCAUUCACUGCUGGGUGGGCUCCCCUGCCCCAUGCUUGACCUGCCUGUCCCUGCAGGUAUCGGGGCUGAGAGGCCCUGUGCUGCGCCUGCGGGAGCCACUGGGUGUGCUGGCUGUGGUGUGUCCGGACGAGUGGCCCUUGCUUGCCUUCGUGUCCCUGCUUGCUCCCGCCCUAGCCUGCGGCAACACUGUGGUCAUGGUGCCCAGCGCAGCCUGUCCCCUGCUGGCCCUGGAGGUCUGCCAGGACAUGGCCACCCUGUUUACAGCGGGCCUGGCCAACGUGGUGACAGGAGACCGGGACCACCUGACCCGCUGCCUGGCCUUGCACCAGGACGUCCAGGCCCUGUGGUAUUUCGGAUCCGCCCAGGGCUCGCAGUUUGUGGAGUGGGCCUCGGCAGGAAACCUCAAACCAGUGUGGGUGAGCAGGGGCUGCCCGCGGGCCUGGGACCAGGAGGCCGAGGGGGCAGGCCCGGAACUGGGGCUGAGAGCUGCGAGGACCAAGGCCCUAUGGCUGCCCAUGGGGGACUGAUGCCUGAGCACCACCCGCUGCAUUUUGGACGUCUUGGACCGGGGAGAUGGAUCCCCACAGAUCCCUGGGACUUCCCCCUUCUUGUUCCUGUGUCUUCCAAUAAACUCUCCGACCAACCCUAG
rnacentral:lncRNA from 13 species